GGAGAGCACUCCUACGGGAGGCAGCAGUGGGGAAUAUUGCACAAUGGGCGCAAGCCUGAUGCAGCCAUGCCGCGUGUAUGAAGAAGGCCUUCGGGUUGUAAAGUACUUUCAGCAGUGAGGAAGGUGGAUAUGUUAAUAGCAUAUUCAUUUGACGUUAGCUGCAGAAGAAGCACCGGCUAACUCCGUGCCAGCAGCCGCGGUAAUACGGAGGGUGCGAGCGUUAAUCGGAAUUACUGGGCGUAAAGCGCAUGCAGGUGGUUUGUUAAGUCAGAUGUGAAAGCCCGGGGCUCAACCUCGGAAUUGCAUUUGAAACUGGCAAACUAGAGUACUGUAGAGGGGGUAGAAUUUCAGGUGUAGCGGUGAAAUGCGUAGAGAUCUGAAGGAAUACCGGUGGCGAAGGCGGCCCCCUGGACAGAUACUGACACUCAGAUGCGAAAGCGUGGGGAGCAAACAGGAUUAGAUACCCUGGUCG
rnacentral:rRNA from 1 species